rnacentral:rRNA from 1 species
GGGGCAAACCCUGAUCCCAGCCAUCCCGCGUGAGUGAUGAAGCCUUUCGGUUUGUAAAGCUCUUUUGGCGGGACGAUGAUGACGGUACCCGCAGAAUAAGCCCCGGCUAACUUCGUGCCAGCAGCCGCGGUAAGACGAAGGGGGCUAGCGUUGUUCGGAAUUACUGGGCGUAAAGCGCGUGUAGGCGGUUGUCCAAGUCGGGUGUGAAGCCUUGAGCUCAACUCAAGAAAUGCACUCGAUACUGGCGGCUUGAGUACCGGAGAGGAUAGUGGAAUUCCCAGUGUAGUGGUGAAAUACGUAGAGAUUGGGAAGAACACCAGUGGCGAAGGCGGCUCACUGGUCCGGUACUGACGCUGAGGUACGAAAGCGUGGGGAGCAAACAGGAUUAGAUACCCUGGUAGUCCACUCCGUAAACGAUGGAAGCCAGCCGUCGGGCAGCAUGCUGUUCGGUGGCGCAUUCUAACGCAUUAAGCUUCCCGCCUGGGGAGUACGGUCGCAAGAUUAAAACUCUAAGGAAUUGACGGGGGCCCGCACAAGCGGUGGAGCAUGUGGUUUAAUUCGAUGCAACGCGCAGAACCUUACCAGCUCUUGACAUCCCAAGACCGAUACAGAGAUGUAGUUUUCCCUUCGGGACUAGAGACAGUAAAAAGGU